AAACCAGCACCUCAAGUGGUCAGGAGGAUUAUUGGGCCUAAAGCAUCCGUAGCCUGCUUUGUAAGUUUUCGGUUAAAUCCAUAUGCUCAACAUAUGGGCUGUCGGGAAUACUGCAUAGCUAGGGAGUGGGAGAGGUAGACGGUACUCCAUAGGAAGGGGUAAAAUCCUUUGAUCUAUGGAAGACCACCUGUGGCGAAGGCGGUCUACCAGAACACGUUCGACGGUGAGGGAUGAAAGCUGGGGGAGCAAACCGGAUUAGAAACCCCAGUAGUCC
rnacentral:rRNA from 1 species